rnacentral:rRNA from 1 species
GUGCCAGCAGCCGCGGUAAUACGUAGGGGGCGAGCGUUGUCCGGAUUUAUUGGGCGUAAAGCGCACGCAGGCGGUCUUUUACGUUUUGAGUGACAGGUGGUGGCUCAACCACCACAGGCCUUGAAAUACGGGAAGACUUGAGGACGAGAGAGGGAUGCGGAAUUCCAGGUGGAGCGGUGAAAUGCGUAGAGAUCUGGAAGAACACCAAAGGCGAAGGCAGCAUUCUGGCUCGGAACUGACGCUGAUGUGCGAAAGCUAGGGGAGCGAACGGGAUUAGAUACCCCGGUAGUCC